CCUUCGCCCCUGCACCGCCGCCCGGAGCUGCCAGCUUUGGGAGCCUUCGCGCGAGUUUCUCCGCUGCUUCACCUUCUCGGGCGAGCCCCCCCUUCCACUUGCUUUUUUCUUUUCUUUCUCGCUUUCCUCCUCAAGGUGUGUGCUCCACUCCCCCCACCUUUGAAAAAUACAGUCCAACUCCUCCUGGUUGGCAAUUAAUUCCUCUCCCCGCUCCUUUAUCUGCCUUACCCCCCCUCCAACAGCUGGUUGCCUUCCUCCUUGUUUUAUUUCAUUUUAUUUUAUAUGAUUUCUUGCUCUUAAAAAAAAAAGCUCCUCUAAGGCACUGAUCCGCUCAAUUCCCUCCCCCCCCAAAGAUGCUCUAAUUUAUUUAUUUUUUGCGUCCUUUAUAACACAAGCCACAGCCCCCUCUCCCCCCACUCCCCCCUUCCCUCCCUCCUUCUUCACAAAAUGAAAGGAAAGAGGGGAAAAAAAAUCCCUCAGAAGAUGAGUAAACAAGCGUAUGCUAAUCUGCUCCCGAGCGCUCCACCUUCCCGAUUGAAUGAGUCCCUGUUAAAACUGCGGGGAUCAUGACUAAUCAAUCAGUUUGGAGAGGCGAGUUACGCAGCCAGCCUCCACUUCGCCGUUCUUCACUCCCUCUUCUCCACCCCCCCUUCUUCUUCUUCUUCUUCUUUUUUUUUCGGGGGGGGGGAGACAAUCUUAAAGUAACAAUUUAAUGAAAUUCUGUACACACCCCCUUACGGUCCUCCCAGCCCUCCUCAUUUCUGCUCAAAACACACAUUCCUGUUUUUGUUUUGUUUUGCUUGCUUCUUUCUCUUCUUCACCCAUCCCUUAUUAUUAUUAUUAUUAUUAUUAUUAUUAUUAUUAUUUCCCCUCUCCUGGCGGGAGAGAAAUGUAUCUCUUCUCUCAGGAUCCCCUUUGCACUUUGCUGGUAAACCUCUUCCCUUUCCAUCGAACAUAAAGAGUCCUGAAACUUGAUUCUCAGAUUUAAAAAAAAUUCUCAUUUUCUCUCUCUCUCCCUCUCUCUCUCUCCUCUCUCUUUCCUUUCAUUUCUCACUUUGCUUCUUUUUCUCAGUCCUCUCCUCUCUUCCUCCCUUCUCUCCAAUCCUUUCCCUCUUCCUCUUUCUCCCUUUCUUGCCUUUCUCUUCUGCUUUCCCUGUCCUUCUCCUUUCCCUUAGAAUUUCCUUAAAGUUAUGCAGUGAUGAGCCGCCCCGUCCCCUCUUCCAUGAGCCCUCUGUGAGGUUGCCAGCAUCAGGCUUCAGCUAACCUAAAUAUUGUUUCCCAAAUCCUCACGGAAUUAGCAGUAGACAGCAAGGAAAGGCAUUUCCCAGGACGUCUGCCUUUCAGGAGCUGUAGACCUAGCGGAACGGGGUCUCUCAAUUCCCCCGUAUAUUCUUACAAACAUUCUAUUGAUUGUUAGAAAUUAUUUUCAUUGUAUAUUAACAACGAAAGAAGAAUACUAAUUUCCCCAACUUCAACCGAAGCAAUUCAGGUCCUCUGACAUUGUGUAAGGCACAGGUUGCUCCUGUCCACAGGGCUGCUGUACAUUCUUAGUUGGGAUCCUGGCUCCAGGCUUCAGGGAGAGAGAGAACCAGGGGCUAAUGACUGGGAAGCUGAGACAGAAACUUCUAGAUUCCAACACCAGUCCUUUGACUCAUGCCAAAGAGCCCCAUUUUGUUUAUCUCUGGCAAUCACAGCAGUAUUUCUUUUGUAUGUUUUCUUGUUUGUUUGUUUUUGUUAACAUUUCUUAAAUUUAGAAUUUCACUUGAAGAUGAAGACUACUGAUGCACAAUGUAUGUUUUUCUUUACAAUUUCUAGAAAAACCAUCAUUUUAGAUUGUAUUAUUUUAUAAUUUUACUCUUUGUAAUAAUAAUUAACUAUAAUUUAUCAUGACAGAUACUAUCUUGUUGGUUAUGAAUAUGAUUUCAUUUAAUCCUCAGAACUAUACCCUGUAGUUUUUCUUAUUCCCAUUUUGUAAACAAAUGAAAAAAAUUAAAUUUAAAAUAAUGAGAUUUAAAAAAAAAUUGGUUGGAUUCUGUGACACAUUUGAACCCCAAUCUGUGUCACUCCAAAGUCUACAUUCUUGACUACUUGGCUGCUCUUCCUCUAAUCCACCUUUAAUCUUUCUAUUGUUUUACAUCGGAAACAAGA